UACGUAGGGGGCUAGCGUUGUCCGGAAUCAUUGGGCGUAAAGAGCGUGUAGGCGGUCCGGUAAGUCCGUUGUGAAAGUCAAGGGCUCAACCCUUGAAUGCCGGCGGAUACUGUCGGGCUAGAGUCCGGAAGAGGCAAGUGGAAUUCCCGGUGUAGCGGUGAAAUGCGUAGAUAUCGAGAGGAACACCUGCGGCGAAGGCGGGUUGCUGGGCUGAUACUGACGCUGAGGCGCGAAAGCCAGGGGAGCGAACGGG
rnacentral:rRNA from 1 species